rnacentral:lncRNA from 1 species
CGGAUGAUGAGGGCAGGCAUCAGAUCGUGAGGGGACAGCGCAGAGGUGAGAACUACGUGUCAUCGAGAGCGCGAGUGUGUGGUGUAAAGGUUUCGCUUUAGGGUGGAGUUUCUUGUGGACGUUUUUUUAAAAAAAACGGUUUGGCCCGAGGGAUGGUAGGAGUACAUGGUGCUGACUUUGACAGGCUGUCACUUUUCCCCAAUUGCUACUCUGACCCCGAGGCAGGGUGGAGAUCACAGGCAAUCACUAUCUGAGCAAUAAAACAUCUUUCUCGGCCGAGUACUUGCUGUUGGCGAUUAGAAAGGUGGUGCCACACGGGGUUUGGAAAACACUUUUUUCUUGGAACAGUUUCUGAAACAGCCUCGUUUUCCCCGUUUGCUGUGUGGCAUACAGAGCAAACCAUUUGGAAAACCGCAUGGAAACUGUUUUUCCUCCUGUUUGCUGUUUUAAAACUUGCUCUAUUUUGGAAAGCGGUUUUUCAAAAUGGCCACCAAAGCAACAGGCCCAGUUGAAAAUUUAAACGAGGAAAAUACCUUCUUUUUAAUUGAACUAUUUCAAAGCCAACAAAAACUGUGGGACUCUUGGAGAGCACAAUAUCACAACAGACAGUUGAAAACCAGUCUUUGGCUUUCAUACAGAGUUCUUUCUCGUCAACGGCAGGGAUCGAGUGCACAGUUGCCCUUAUCCAAGCAAACGUAGACAUGCAGCGUCCGAAACACAUUUUCAAGGGAAAAUAAAUAAAACCAAAGCUGGCACGCGAACUCUAACAUCAAGAGGAGCGCACCAGAGACAGACUCUGUACCGUGUUUCUGAUGACGGAGGAAGCUUCAGAAGCGGACUAUUGAACUUUUGAUCAGACUUUUACGGCGGAUAGGGUAACUACUGUUCUGUGUUUUCAUGUAUAGUUAAGCAUUGUGGUUGUUGAUGAUUGUUUUUUUCUAUUAGAUCCAUUUUUUUGUUGGGUUUGUUCUAGUGUGCAUGGCUAUAGAGCCAUGACAGAAAAAAAAUUGACAAUAAGCUGCUUCUGUAGUUAUUUAGCGAAAGAGUGAUAACUUUAUUCCUAUGUGUCAACAGCAUAUAAGGAUUGUUAUACCAAUUUAAGGAAACACAUAAUUGUUAUUAGCUCAGAUGGAAAAGGAGACAAUUUUUUCACAUGGCGCAACUACUUGCUAGAGUAUUUAGAGGACGAGUGUGCAAGGAAGGGGGAAGAUAUUUCCCAUACAGUUGCACUACUUGCAUAUCAAACAUUUUGGGCUUGUUGUGUAUCAAGAAGGUGAAAUGGAAACAAAGUGAAAACAAACACGGUGGUUGGCAUAUCUUUGAUGACCCUGAAUAUCGUCCACGACCAUGUUUGCUGUGAAAGACAAGAACAUGCCAUGUGUUUUCCUUUGGAUGAGAGUAAUUAACCUUGUGUCCUUCUCCGAGUAGAGUCGAGUAUGCAUCCUCCACUGCACCAGAAUCAAGAUUGAUGUACUCCUUUGGGUGACAGCCAAGAACAUAUGGCUAGUGAGCUUUUAUAGGCGAGGGCAAAUAAAAAAAAUAAUGCAUUCCUUGUACGAGUGGUUUGUAUAAAAAUGGUAGUGGAACGUUAAUGUUUAAUUUGCAUUUUUACUGCAAAAGCUAAUAUGUCUCUCCCUUCAUUCCCCCAACCAAAAAAAAAAACUUUAAAAAUAGAAAUCACAAAAUAUCCGAAUCAACAUUUUGCUGAUGUAGUUACAUAAAUAUAAAUGCACUGACCAAGUGUUUUGUUCAGCUUCAGAAUAUG